AACGAACGCUGGCGGCAUGCCUAACACAUGCAAGUCGAACGAGAUCUUCGGGUCUAGUGGCGCACGCGUGCGUAACGCGUGGGAAUCUGCCCUUUGGUUCGGAAUAACAGUUGGAAACGACUGCUAAUACCGGAUGAUGACGAAAGUCCAAAGAUUUAUCGCCAGAGGAUGAGCCCGCGUAGGAUUAGCUAGUUGGUGUGGUAAAGGCGCACCAAGUGGACGAUCCUUAGCUGGUCUGAGAGGAUGAUCAGCCACAGUGGGACUGAGACACGGGACAGACUACUACGGGAGGCAGCAGUGGGGAAUAUUGGAGAAUGGGCGAAAGCCUGAUCCAGCAAUGCCGCGUGAGUGAUGAAGGCCUUAGGGUUGUAAAGCUCUUUUACCCGGGAUGAUAAUGACAGUACCGGGAGAAUAAGCUCCGGCUAACUCCGUGCCAGCCGCCGCCGUAA
rnacentral:rRNA from 1 species